UGUCUAAGUACAUUCCUUUGCUCAAGGUUGAAACCGCGAAUGGCUCAUUAAAUCAGUUAUGUUUCAUUUGAUCUGUGACUCAGUUGGAUAACCGUGGUAAUUCUAGAGCUAAUACAUGACAAUUAUGCUCCUUCCAUAAUUUAUGGGUUGGAAGGAGUGCCUUUAUUAGAUGCAUAACCAAACGGACCUCGGUCCGCCAUGCUGAUUCUGGAUAAUACGGUUGAGAGUGAGGUCCACGGACCUGCUCCAGAUCUUUCGAGUUUCUGCCUUAUCAUGCUGUGAUUGUAGGUCAAGUGCCUACAAUGGCUGUUACGGGUAACGGAGAAUCAGGGUUCGAUUCCGGAGAGGGAGCCUGAGAAACGGCUACCACAUCCAAGGAAGGCAGCAGGCACGGAAAUUAUCCAAUCCCGGCUUGGGGAGGUAGUGACGAAAAAUAACAAUGCGGGAUUCUUCGGAAUCCGCGUAAUUGGAAUGAUCUGAGGUCAAAUAUUUUACAUAACUCAUUGGAGGGCAAGUCUGGUGCCAGCAGCCGCGGUAAUUCCAGCUCCAAUAGCAUAUAUUAGAAUUGUUGCNGUUAAAAAGCUCGUAGUUCGAGCUGAGUUCUGGACUGGCCCGGGGAGGUUACCGCCAGGUGCCUCUCCGUCAGCUCAGAAUAGCUUCCCAGUGCUGGGAAGCCAAGACCACUUGGCCGGGGUGCUCUUUACCGAGUGUCCCGCGCUAGUGGCGGUUUUACCUUGACUAAAGUAGAGUGCUUAAGGCAGGCUACUAUAACUUAUGUUUUAUGCCUAUAUGGAACUGCAUGGAAUGAUGAAACAUGAUCUCGACUCUCCUUGUUGGUUAUUAGAGUCCGAGUUAAUGAUAAACAGGGACUGCCGGGGCCAUCCGUACUACGGGGCGAGAGGUGAAAUUCUAUGACCCUCGUAGGACGAACUAAAGCGAAAGCAUUUGGCAAGAAUGUCUUCGUUGAUCAAGAACGAAAGUUAGAGGAUCGAAGGCGAUCAGAUACCGCCCUAGUUCUAACCAUAAACGAUGCCAACUAGCUAUCCGCCGUCGUUAUACCCAUGACGUGGCGGGACGCCCCCGGGAAACCUAAAGUUUUUGGGUUCCGGGGGUAGUAUGGUUGCAAAGCUGAAACUUAAAGGAAUUGACGGAAGGGCACCACCAGGAGUGGAGCCUGCGGCUUAAUUUGACUCAACACGGGAAACCUCACCAGGCCCAGACACUAUAAGGAUUGACAGAUUAAAAGCUCUUUCUAGAUUUUGUGGGUGGUGGUGCAUGGCCGUUCUUAGUUGGUGGAGUGAUUUGUCUGGUUAAUUCCGGUAACGAACGAGACUCUGGCCUACUAAAAAUGUAGUCGACGGGUGUUAGUUAUGAGGAACAACCCCGUUCGUCUUCUUAGAGGGAUAAGCAGCGAAUAUAGCUGCAGUAGAAUGAGCAAUAACAGGUCUGUAAUGCCCUUAGAUGUCCUGGGCCGCACGCGGGCUACACUGAAUGGUUCAACAGGUGCCCCUGCUCCGAGAGGAGUGGGAAAUCCUUUGAAACUCAUUCGUGAUAGGGAUUGGGUGCUGGGUAGAGCACCCAUGAACGAGGAAUUCCCAGUAAGCGCAAGUCAUUAGCUUGCGCUGAUUAAGUCCCUGCCCUUUGUACACACCGCCCGUCGCUACUACCGAUUGAAUGUUUUAGUGAGGACUUCGGACUGGCUGUCUUGGAUUGGGUUCCGCUCGCCUUCGGGUGUCGGACCUGCCAACAUCUGACGGAAAGUUGUCCAAA
rnacentral:rRNA from 1 species